GUGCUUGCUUCGGCAGCACAUAUACUAAGAUUGGAAUGAGAAGAUUAGCAUGGCCUCUCAAGGAUGACAUGCAAAUUCAUGAAGCAUUCUAUAUUUUU
rnacentral:snRNA from 1 species